rnacentral:rRNA from 1 species
AUUGAACGCUGGCGGCAGGCCUAACACAUGCAAGUCGAGCGAGCGGCGGACGGGUGAGUAAUGUCUGGGCAACUGCCUGAUGGAGGGGGAUAACUACUGGAAACGGUAGCUAAUACCGCAUACCAUCAGAUGUGCCCAGAUGGGAUUAGCUAGUGGGUGGGGUAACGGCUCACCUAGGCGACGAUCCCUAGCUGGUCUGAGAGGAUGACCAGCCACACGGGAACUGAGACACGGUCCAGACUCCGACGGGAGGCAGCAGUGGGGAAUAUUGGACAAUGGGCGAAAGCCUGAUACAGCCAUGCCGCGUGUAUGAAGAAGGCCUUCGGGUUGUAAAGUACUUUCAGCGGGGAGGCGUUACCCGCAGAAGAAGCACCGGCUAACUCCGUGCCAGCAGCCGCGGUAAUUC